rnacentral:rRNA from 1 species
UACCAGCACCCCGAGUGGUCGGGACGUUUAUUGGGCCUAAAGCAUCCGUAGCCGGUUCUACAAGUCUUCCGUUAAAUCCAACUGCUUAACAGGUGGGCUGCGGAAGAUACUAUAGAGCUAGGAGGCGGGAGAGGCAAGCGGUACUCGAUGGGUAGGGGUAAAAUCCGUUGAUCCAUUGAAGACCACCAGUGGCAAAGGCGGCUUGCCAGAACGCGCUCGACGGUGAGGGAUGAAAGCUGGGGGAGCAAACCGG